rnacentral:rRNA from 1 species
GACGCACUCUGGCGGCGUGCUUAACACAUGCAAGUCGAACGAUGAAGCCUAGCUUGCUAGGUGGAUUAGUGGCGAACGGGUGAGUAAUACGUGAGUAACCUACCUUUAACUCUGGGAUAAGCCUGGGAAACUGGGUCUAAUACCGGAUACGACCAAUCUCCGCAUGGGGUGUUGGUGGAAAGCGUUAUGUAGUGGUUAUAGAUGGGCUCACGGCCUAUCAGCUUGUUGGUGAGGUAACGGCUCACCAAGGCGACGACGGGUAGCCGGCCUGAGAGGGUGACCGGCCACACUGGGACUGAGACACGGCCCAGACUCCUACGGGAGGCAGCAGUGGGGAAUAUUGCACAAUGGGCGCAAGCCUGAUGCAGCGACGCCGCGUGAGGGAUGACGGCCUUCGGGUUGUAAACCUCUGUUAGCAGGGAAGAAGAGAGAUUGACGGUACCUGCAGAGAAAGCGCCGGCUAACUACGUGCCAGCAGCCGCGGUAAUACGUAGGGCGCGAGCGUUGUCCGGAAUUAUUGGGCGUAAAGAGCUUGUAGGCGGUUUGUCGCGUCUGCUGUGAAGGCCGGGGCUUAACUCCGUGUAUUGCAGUGGGUACGGGCAGGCUAGAGUGCAGUAGGGGAGACUGGAAUUCCUGGUGUAGCGGUGGAAUGCGCAGAUAUCAGGAGGAACACCGAUGGCGAAGGCAGGUCUCUGGGCUGUAACUGACGCUGAGAAGCGAAAGCAUGGGGAGCGAACAGGAUUAGAUACCCUGGUAGUCCAUGCCGUAAACGUUGGGCACUAGGUGUGGGGGACAUUCCACGUUUUCCGCGCCGUAGCUAACGCAUUAAGUGCCCCGCCUGGGGAGUACGGCCGCAAGGCUAAAACUCAAAGAAAUUGACGGGGGCCCGCACAAGCGGCGGAGCAUGCGGAUUAAUUCGAUGCAACGCGAAGAACCUUACCAAGGCUUGACAUAUACUGGACCGCAUCAGAGAUGGUGUUUCCCUUCGGGGCUGGUAUACAGGUGGUGCAUGGUUGUCGUCAGCUCGUGUCGUGAGAUGUUGGGUUAAGUCCCGCAACGAGCGCAACCCUCGUUCUAUGUUGCCAGCACGUUAUGGUGGGGACUCAUAGGAGACUGCCGGGGUCAACUCGGAGGAAGGUGGGGAUGACGUCAAAUCAUCAUGCCCCUUAUGUCUUGGGCUUCACGCAUGCUACAAUGGCCGGUACAGAGGGUUGCGAUACUGUGAGGUGGAGCUAAUCCCUAAAAGCCGGUCUCAGUUCGGAUUGGGGUCUGCAACUCGACCCCAUGAAGUCGGAGUCGCUAGUAAUCGCAGAUCAGCAACGCUGCGGUGAAUACGUUCCCGGGCCU